rnacentral:rRNA from 1 species
GACGAACGCUGGCGGCGUGCUUAACACAUGCAAGUCGAACGCUGAAGCUCAGCUUGCUGGGUGGAUGAGUGGCGAACGGGUGAGUAACACGUGAGUAACCUGCCCCCUUCUUUGGGAUAACGCCCGGAAACGGGUGCUAAUACUGGAUAUUCACUGAUCUUCGCAUGGGGGUUGGUGGAAAGGUUUUUUCUGGUGGGGGAUGGGCUCGCGGCCUAUCAGCUUGUUGGUGGGGUGAUGGCCUACCAAGGCUUUGACGGGUAGCCGGCCUGAGAGGGUGACCGGUCACAUUGGGACUGAGAUACGACCCAGACUCCUACGGGAGGCAGCAGUGGGGAAUAUUGCACAAUGGGCGAAAGCCUGAUGCAGCGACGCCGCGUGAGGGAUGGAGGCCUUCGGGUUGUAAACCUCUUUCGCUCAUGGUCAAGCCGCAACAUUGGUUGUGGUGAGGGUAGUGGGUAAAGAAGCGCCGGCUAACUACGUG